rnacentral:rRNA from 1 species
CCUACGGGAGGCAGCAGUGGGGAAUAUUGGACAAUGGGCGAAAGCCUGAUCCAGCAAUGCCGCGUGAGUGAUGAAGGCCUUAGGGUUGUAAAGACUCUUUUACCCGGGAUGAUAAUGACAGUACCGGGAGAAUAAGCCCCGGCUAACCUCCGUGCCAGCAGCCGCGGUAAUACGGAGGGGGCUAGGCGUUGUUCGGAAUUACUGGGCGUAAAGCGCACGUAGGCGGUUAUUCAAGUCAGAGGUGAAAGCCUGGAGCUCAACUCCAGAACUGCCUUUGAAACUAGAUAACUAGAAUCAUGGAGAGGUGAGUGGAAUUCCGAGUGUAGAGGUGAAAUUCGUAAGAUAUUCGGAAGAACACCAGUGGCGAAGGCGGCUCACUGGACAUGUAUUGACGCUGAGGUGCGAAAGCGUGGGGAGCGAAACAGGAUUAGAUACCCUGGUAGUCCACGCCGUAAACGAUAGAUAACUAGUUGUUGGGGCUCUUAGAGCUCUAGUGACGCAGCUAACGACAUAAGUACUAUCCGCCGUCGGGAGGUACGGUCGGCGAGAAUAAAACUAACAAAUAAGAAGUUAGUACGGACGUGAGACGUAGCCGAACGGACGACGACGAGGGAAGGAGG